CAGGGUUUGAUGUAAGAAAUAACUCAAUAUGGAUGUCAUGUGCCAGAAUCUGGGAGGUGGGAAACCAAGACACCUCUUUUGUUGGGAAUCUUUAAGAAUAGCAGAGAGCCCAGCUGGUUUGGCUCAGUGGAUAGAGCGUUGGCCUGCGGACUGAAGAGUUCGAUUCCGGGUUCGAUUCCAGUCAAGGGCACAUGCCCAGGUUGCAGGCUUGAUCCCCAGUAGGGGGCGUGCAGGAGGCAGCCGAUCAAUGAUUCUCUCUCAUCAUGGAUGUUUCUAGCUCUCUCUCCCUCUCCCUUCCUCUCUGAAAUCAAUAAAAAAUAUAUUUUUUUAAAAAAAGAAAGAAUAGCAGAGACCCUCACAUUCUAGAUUCCAGAAGGAACACCCUUAUUGGUAGCUGACUAAGGAAGCCGGUCAAGGAGUGGAAGCAGUCUUUUUUUUUUCUAAUAUAUUUUAUUGAUUUUUUACAGAGAGGAAGGGAGAGGGAUAGAGAGUUAGAACCAUCCAUGAGAGAGAAACAUCCAUCAGCUGCCUCCUGCACACCACCUACUGGGGAUAUGCCCGCAACCAAGGUACAUGCCCCUGACUGGAAUUGAACCUGGGACCCUUCAGACCGCAGGCCGACGCUCUAGCCCAGCCGUGGGCAAACUACGGCCCGUUUGAAAUGAAUAAAACUAUUGAAAAAAAAGACCGUACCCUUUUAUGUAAUGAUGUUUACUUUGAAUUUAUAUUAGUUCACACAAACACUCCAUCCAUGCUUUUGUUCCGGCCCUCCGGUCCAGUUUAAGAACCCAUUGUGGCCCUCGAGUCAAAAAGUUUGCCCACCCCUGCUCUAGCCACCGAGCCAAACUGGUCAGGGCAUGGAAGCAGUCUUUAGGAUGCUCACCUCCUCCCCACAGCUGCUGCAUCCCAGAGCUGCCUCGGUGGAUCUGACCCCACACUUCUAGGCGGGCUGGGACAGUGGCCCUUAUAAAAACCAGGCCACAGGACAGCGGUUCCAUGGAUUCCAGCCAUUUUCCCAUUACCUUUCUGAAACUAGGUUUCUCACAAGAGCCCUCUGCACAGAUCUGGGGACACCCGGAGGCUGUGUUCUCUGCCUGUAGUCAGUCCACCCCCCCCCACCCGCUACCCCCCCCCCCCCAUGUAUCUUUGAGAGAGCGGUGUGUGUUGGGGGAUGGUAACAGGUAAGGAGAAUGGGGACGUUCAGAACUGUCCCGGCGUCCAGGCUGCUCUUCUGCCGCUUAUACCCCCCUUCCUCCUCCUCAGAGGCGGCUGCAGGGGAACCUUCGGGUGCCCCAGCCCCCUGCGCCAGGCACACUUCCGACUGGGGAGAGAGAACAGGUUGUACUCUUCAGAAACCACAAGAGGAAGUUUAGGGAGGGCUGGGGUGGGGAAAGUUCUGGGGCCCCUGCCAAGUUUCCCUUUCAGUGCCCAGCGGGUAGAUGUGUUUAUUUUGGUGUGUUUCUCUUGCCCUCAAAGACAUUUAACUUUUAAACCCUCUGAGUUUUAAAGAGCUGUCGAGGCCUGCCUCAUUUCCGCAGGAGGGUGUGGCCAGAGACAGGCUGGAAAUGGUAUCAGAACGUGGUUACCUUUCUGGGGCUUUCGCCUGGGAUUCAUGCUGCUGGGGAAAGGCUGCCUGACUCCAGAAAGUCUCCUCUUCUCCCUCUGCCCUUUCACCUUCCUCUUCCCCGAAGCACUCCCUGCAGCCCUGCAUUCCUCAGGACUGUGGUUACCAGGCCACUGAGGAGCGGGGUGAUGGCGCCAGAAGCUGUCCGAAAUCUUUUGCUUGCCUAAUCUCAUUCCCCACAUCUUCAGGUUGUAAAUACCCCUACUCCCAAUUUACAGAUGGGAAAACAGGAUCAGAAAGGCUAGGAAACUGGCCCGAGGGUCCCCCAGCUAGGAGGGGCAGAGGUCAGACGUGAGCCGUGGUCUCUGAUUUCAAAGCCUGGGCUCUCGAUGUCUCAUUUAACCCCCACACCGAGCAUCUGCUUCCCCAACAUAUCACUCCCUGAACAGCAGGGAGGCUGCAACCUGAAGAUGUGUUUGAAAAUGAUGCUGACAGUGUGGGGAGAGGAUGGCUUGGGUACAGAAUUGGAAGAAAUUCCUUGGGAGUUAGUAUAUUAAAGAAGAACAACUGAGCGGGGGGGAAAAAAAAAGACACAGUGGGUGAAAGGUUGAAGUCACACUCUGAAGGCCGAGCCCAGUGGGGAGAAUAUUUAGGAGGGAUCGUAUAGCUGUGUCCAAACAUUGGAAAUGUUGCCUGUGGAAGCCCCCAGGUAGGGGGACCAGAGGAGGCAGAUUUCUAAAACGCAGAAGAACUCUCUAACAGAUAAUUGCCUAAUUCCCUCCCGAGGAAGUCAGUCCCUCCUGUAAGAGAGUCUAGGGCACAUGCUUUGGAGGGGCUUCUGCCGCAGAGGAGACCCUACAAGUCCUUCCACCUCUAAACCUCCCGCGUCAUCCCUUCCCUGUCAUCCUCCUCUCCUCCGCACUCCCUGGCCCUUGGUGUCUCAUCCGUCCGCCAGGUGGGGCUGUUGCCCAGUGUGUCGCUCCAGAGGCAGCUGGGCUGGGUGAAGAGCUCCACCUGGUCCUUCAGCCGCCAUCUGGCCGGGCGGGGCCUCUCGGCCACCCCAUCCCCAGCUAUCUACAUACCCAGGCACAGACUUUUGACCCAUAAAAUACCUCUUAGGUCUCCUCUGGGCUCAGGCUAGACCGGGCAGGCCUCUGCCCCUAGGGUAGGCUCUCUUCCCCAGGUUACGGAUUCCCUCCCUCCCACACUUUCUCUUUCCCCUUCCUUGACCUUCGUUUGCCCUUGAACCAGAAAAAUCCAUAUGUGGGUGCAAUAGGCAAGGCCAGCAGCCCUCAUGGCAUGGCAGGGUACCCAGUGUGGCAUGGCUUUUCGGACCCUUCAAAGGCAUGACGCCCGUGUUAUCUCCUUUAAGGGGCCUCAGAAGCCAUACCUCUCUGAAACUAUUUGUCCUCAGUGGUCUGACCAGUUCUCCUACCCUGGCAGAAAUUCCCCCUGGACAGCCACGCCUAAGUGGGGGCGGGGGGGGGGGCGGUGUAGGAAGGAGGGGGAGGAGAGGUGUUGCUUGGUGCCUGUUUGUUGACUCAGAUCUGCUUGUUGCUACCCAGACCCUUAGGGAGGCACAGAGCCUGGGGCCCCAGGGACCCAGCAGGCAGAGCCCAGGGUGAGCAGGGGAUAGAGUGCAUCCGUAAGCCCUGUGGCCACAGGACAACGUGGAGGGCAGGGCCAGAGAAAGAGGCCAUAACCAGUAGUUCCAAGCAUGAGGUAACUCAUGUACUCUCCCCAACAACCUUGUGAGGCAGGACACCCAUUUUAUAGAUGAGCAAAUGAAGGCACUGAGGGUUAAGCAGCUCGCUUGCAUUUACACAACUGGUCAGUGGCUGAGCUGGAAGUCUGACUCGGCCAUUUGACUAUAAAGUUUGUGCACAUAACCACUAAUGUGUGCUUUUGCUCAUGAAUUGGUCAAGAGAGGCUGUACUUAGAGAAAUCACUCUGAUUUGAGUCCUAGCUACUUCCCUGAGUUUCUCAUCUGUAAAGUGGGCAUAAUAUAGCCCUUACCUCACUGGGUUAUUAUAAGGUUUAACAAUUAUAAUGAUUAUUUUUUAUUUUUCAACUACAGUUGAUAUACAAUAUUAUAUUAGUUCCAAGUGUAUAACAUAGAGAUUAGACGUUUAUAUAACUUGCAGAUAAGUUAGACUAUUACCCUGAUAAGUUCAGUAUCCAUCUGACACCAUAUGUAGCUAUUACAGCAUUAUUGAUUAUAUUCCCUGUGCUGUAUUUUACAUCUCUGUGACUGUUUUCAUAUCUGGCAGUUUGUACAUCUUAAUUCCUUUCCCUUUUUCACUCACCCCACACCCACUUUCCAAUUGGCAACCAUCAAUUUGUUCUCUGUAUCUAUAAGCAUGUUUCUGUUUUAUUUUGUUUUUUUAGAUUCUACGUAUAAGUGAGUCAUAUGAUAUUUGUCUUUCUCUGUUAUUUAGCACAAUACCCUCUAGAUCCAUCCAUACUGUUGCAAAUGGCAAGAUUUCAUUCCUAUUUAUGGGCCCGUCCCCUUUCCCUGAGCUGUAUCUGUUACAGAACCACAAGCUUGGAGACUGUUCAGAUGCGGAAUCUAUUCUCAUCACAGUGGGAGAGGAUCUCGGGGUUACAGACUCUCGGAUGGCCUGGGUGGCCGAGCACGGCUCCCUGGUCCUGUCUUUAUUCCUUCCAGUCAGCUGGUGCCUGCUGGUCCUUGGGGCAGCCUCCAUCUGGUCUUGGAAUGGUCUUAACUUCCACCUCGAAGGCCGGGCUGUUUUACUUUCAGGUCUCUUGGUCUCCAAGGAAACUGAGUCUUUCCCUGCUUGGGCCCAGCCUCUUGAGUUCUAACUCCAACCUCCCUGUUCAGCUGCUAGGCGUGAGCCUGGUGCCUCCUGGGUGGUCCUCAGAAAGCCUUGCUUCUCCCGGCUCCUUCCAGGCCUUCCCUCUGACACAGUUUCUGGGAGUCCUUUUUGGUAUGCUUUGUAGGAAUCGAUGAUGUGGAUUUCUCUAAUCCUCAUUUCUUCCUGGCCCAUGGCAGGGAAGAUGGUGGGGAUAAUAAUAGCGUAUCUUCGCACAAUACUUCCCCAUGCCAGGGCCUGUCGUGAGUGCCUAUAUGUACUAUACGCCAUUUGUAAAGAAGUAAGUUUAUAAUAAAUAGGACAUUUAUUAACUCAUUCCUCACUUAUUCCUCAUAAGAAUCCCAUGUGGUUUCCUUAGUUUACAGAUGAAGAACUGAGGCCCAAAGGUUAAGGAACUUAACAGCUAGCCAGCCUGGAGAGCCUGGUGGCUGAAGGAACUCUGACCUGCCUUUCCAUGCACAUGGUGUCUGCGUGUGUCUGUGCACGCGUGUGUGUGUGUCCACCCACCAGGGGGAGUGUGAGACGACAAGUUUUAAGACCACGUCAGGAUAGGUAGAGCAGGCUGGCAGGCCUCUGUGUGUGAUGGUGGGUCUGUGUAUGACCUGCAUGUCUGUGUGGAGGUGAGAUGUUGUGGAUCAAGUCCCGCAGGCAAGCCCAGAGCCUCGCCCGUCCCUCUGUGCUCCUGGCCAGAGCUUCAGGGUUGUCCACUAAGCGAAGCAAGAUGGAAGGGAAGGAGCAAGGAUGGCCCUGCCCCUGCCGGCAGGUCAGGUGUCCCACAGGACCCAGGAAACAGGAGUGGGUGGUGGCGAUGUGAGUUCUGCUAGGUGGGGCUGGGGCCCUAACCCAUCUGAGGAGCCCUGGAUGAAUCAGCCCGACCACAGCCGCCCCAACUGCAGUGACGGUGACAACAAGCUCUUCGUCCAGCCCCCCCAACACUCAUUUUCCUUUCCUUUCGCUCCCCAGACUCAGGCUUUGGCAGGGUGUGGCACCCGGGCAGUGGCUAAGGGGAAACACCUCUGGAGUUGGUGGUUAAGCUGGGUCCUGAUGCUAGAACUGCAACCUUGAUCUUCAAGAUACUCCACCCAGAAAUGGGCAGUAGCCCUGGCCCGGGGUGGGUGUCACAUACUCUGUCCAGAAGACAGGAUUGCAUAUGUCCAGGGCUCCUGGGCCCACCCACCUGACAUUUCCCUCCAACGAUACCUGUAGGUCUCGGGAUUGUCCAGUCUUGUACGGUAGAGCACAUUUUAUAGUGUAGGGUUCAAAGUCAGUGUGAAAACAAAACACAUGAAAGUUACCAUUAAAGUCUCUUUAAGCUGCUCAUAAAACGCAGUGCACCUACUGUGUGCAUUCUCUCCUGUCCCUCAGCAUCUCUAGCAUAGCCAGAUCUCAUUGGAACAGAUGGCUGAGUCUUUAGUGGAACUAAAUUAUGUUGAGCUUGGGGUAAGGGACCACAGUGUAUAAGCAAUACGUAGGUUUCUGUGGUUGGCUGCUGUCUUCUCCGGUAGAUACCCUUGAAUUCGUGGUAGUUAGUGUGCACAUUUAGGAAUUCAGUAAGUGCUUGCCUCUGGGCUCCCUGAGCCACAAGAAAGGGUGGAGUGACAGAACUGUGGGAAUCUGGGGGAAGGAGCAGUUGCUUUUGGAUGGGUUAACCAGGAAUUUCUUUCUCAGAGGUACCCUGUGAGAAAACAGGAGGCGUGGGCUUGAUGAGAAAUUCAGUUUUACAUGGUGGUUGCUUUUGUAUGUUUUUACUUUUCUGAAUAUGUGAGUUUUUUACUGAAAAGCCAUACUGUAGAAUUCAUUAUUUUCUAUUCUUAUUUCUAUGGCAAUCAUUAGGCCAACUUAUUCUUUAUUAUGACUGAUUCUUUCUAAAAUAACUAGCAGCUUUUUCUAAAAUCAUUAUUGUUUCUGUAACAAUAAUUGUUCUUAAUGUGACCACUUCUUGUUUCUUUAAUGCUUUAACAACUCCAGCAGCACACUGGCGCAGGAGUGUAAGACAUGAGUCAAGGUAAAAAUGUUGAGGGUGGGUGCGUGUCAGAGCCCCUGAGUCUGCCUAAACCAGUGUGUUCAAUCUAAGGCAGUAGUCAUCAAACUUAAUGGUCUCAGAAACAUUUUACAUCCUCAAAAAUGUUAUUAUUGAGGAUCCCAGAGAGCUUUUGCUUUGCAGGUUGUAGCUGUUGACAUUUAAUUUCUAUUAAAAUUUUUUAAAUGAGAAGUUUAAAAAAUAUUUGUUCAUUCCUUUCAAGUAACAAGAAGAAACUCAUUUCCUGUUAACAUAGCAUCGUGUUUUUUUCAGAUGAUCAUAUUCUUUAUAAAGUUAUGACUAUAUGUCCCAAAGUGAAAGAAAUGAAUGAGAAGUGUAGCCUUGUUUUACAUUUUUGCAAAUCUCUUUAAUGUGUGGCUUAAUUGGAGACAGCUGGAUUAUCAGUUCUGCUUCUCCUCCAGUCUGUCCUCGUGUGUUGUUUGAGUCGAUGUAUAUGAAGACAGAUAUGCAGUUGGAAAGAAAGAACCUUGCCAACUGCUCUAGAGGAUAGCUGGCCUAGAGGGACAUUUAGCUGGAAAGAAAUUUUUGGACGAUGGUGAAGAAGCUGAAUCCACAGUAUUGGAUUGCUAGGGCUGGGCUUUAUUUAGUAGGUAAUGGGGAGCCAUUGAAGGCUUUUGAGAAAGGAAGUGACAUGAGAACUGUUUUAAGAUGAUUUCUAGAGCAUCAGGAGAAAAAUAGAAUUGGUAAGAGCGUCUAUACCAGGGGUUCCCAAUCUUUUUUUGGCCAUGCCC